GUUGCCAUGAAGCACGUAAAGUUAAGUUACAGUACCUAUAGUGCAAAGUUUAAGGAAGUGUACCAGAAACUUCUCUUAAAAGUACAAUUUCUUCAGAAGAUUACUAAAAGUAACAGACAGAGUAAAUGUAACAUGUUACUACCUACUUCUGCACCCAGUAAGUAGACAAAGUCCUUUGAUUAACUAGUAAAACAGAGAUGCUAGAAUAGUGUUUCAGUCUGAUAAAUGAACUCUUCCCCGGGUUGAGGACUAUACCGAUACACUUUCGUGGGUUUGUAUUUUAGGUAAAUUUCCCUGAAACAAAGAAGCUUUUUAAAAGAAUUCCCCAUGGAGAAAUUUAGAUAUAAUGACCUGAUGUCCAUCCUGUCCAGGGUGUACUUCGCAUACCUUUAUCCAUUUAGCUGGCACUUUUCUCCAAAGCAACUUACAAUGUUAAGCUCCUCAUAACUACUUUCCCCAUUCAUACUCCUGGGUAAUUUUGCUAGAGUGAUUUAGAAUAAGUACCAUGAUCAAGGGUGCUACAGCAAUAGGUGGGUUUUGAACCAGCAACCUUCAAAUCUAAAGAUAGCAGCUGUGCUGCACUAUCAGUUGCUUAGGUGUCUUUUGUGGUUGGGAUGGGAAUAGCUCCAGAUGGCCAUAACCCAGAUUUUGACAGGUGGUUAAUGACAGCGGGUGAGUGGUGAACCCUAUCAGUUUGUCAAAGAAAAAUUUUAACGUUGAAUUGUCCGUGUAUACUCUCUUCCACAGUUAAAACUGCAAAUUCAGGUGGAUCAACUUAACACUUCUCCAAUGAGUACAGAAGAAAGAGCGAGGCUUAUGGACUCUGAAAGUCUAUCAGCAGGAUGGUCGAAAAACGGUGGUGAUAAUUCUUCAGACGCUUGGUGGAAACGGCUGACAUUAUACAGAAAGCCAUGUGCACACUUCCUUUUUAAAGGUGUUAUAUAUAUAUAUGUACGGCUUUAGCAUUCUUAUGGAGAUGCCUGAAGGGAUUGUGUGUAUUUAUAUUUUUAAGAAGACAGCCUGUUUGUUCCUCUCCAGUCAAAAUCCAUGUCUUGGUCAGGGGCAUGACCCUGAACUCCCACAAGACAUUCAUGAGAACGCUGGACAUGUCCUUGGAGGAGUCUACCCUGGAGGAGUGCAGUGUGAUCCUGGUCUUCUGUUCCAUUACCACUCGGAUGGGGACGGCUAUAGAGGGGACCAUGAAUGUCAUUCCAGGUGAUCUUUAGAUCCACAUGCACUGUUUUAACGUUUAUGGCCUUUAACUGUGUGUAACAAAAAUCACAUAUGACAUACUGGGGUGGUGACAGCGGAUGGGCUUGUGGAUUUUAUUACACUUCUUGUCCAUAUUCAUUAAAGAAAACGUAAAGAUAAGUAAUAAAUUGAAACGAUAUGCUGUUUGGUUAAAAAAU
rnacentral:lncRNA from 1 species